CAGCCGCCGCGGUAAUACCGGCGGCCCGAGUGGCGGCCACUAUUAUUGGGCUUAAAGCGUCCGUAGCCGGGUUGGUUAGUCUCCCGGGAAAUCUGGCCGCUUAACGGUCAGAAUUCCGGGAGAUACUGCCAGCCUAGGGACCGGGAGAGGCCGAGGGUAUUCCCGGAGUAGGGGUGAAAUCCUAUAAUCCCGGGAGGACCACCUGUGGCGAAGGCGCUCGGCUGGAACGGGUCCGACGGUGAGGGACGAAGGCCAGGGGAGCAAACCGGAUUAGAUACCCGGGUAGUCCUGGCUGUAAACGAUGCGGACUUUGUGUCGGACAAGCUAUGAGCUUGUCCGGUGCCGGAGGGAAACCGUUAAGUCCGCCGCCUGGGGAGUACGGCCGCAAGGCUGAAACUUAAAGGAAUGGCGGG
rnacentral:rRNA from 1 species